UAGGGAAUCUUCCGCAAUGGGCGAAAGCUUGACGGAGCAACGCCGCGUGAGUGAUGAAGGUCUUCGGAUCGUAAAACUCUGUUAUUAGGGAAGAACAAAUGUGUAAGUAACUAUGCACGUCUUGACGGUACCUAAUCAGAAAGCCACGGCUAACUACGUGCCAGCAGCCGCGGUAAUACGUAGGUGGCAAGCGUUAUCCGGAAUUAUUGGGCGUAAAGCGCGCGUAGGCGGUUUUUUAAGUCUGAUGUGAAAGCCCACGGCUCAACCGUGGAGGGUCAUUGGAAACUGGAAAACUUGAGUGCAGAAGAGGAAAGUGGAAUUCCAUGUGUAGCGGUGAAAUGCGCAGAGAUAUGGAGGAACACCAGUGGCGAAGGCGACUUUCUGGUCUGUAAAUGACGCUGAUGUGCGAAAGCGUGGGGAUCAAACAGG
rnacentral:rRNA from 1 species